rnacentral:rRNA from 1 species
GACGAACGCUGGCGGCGUGCUUAACACAUGCAAGUCGAACGGUGAAGCUCCAGCUUGCUGGAGUGGAUCAGUGGCGAACGGGUGAGUAACACGUGAGCAACCUGCCCCUGACUCUGGAAUAAGCGCUGGAAACGGCGUCUAAUACUGGAUACGAGAAGGGUCCGCAUGGGCACUUUCUGGAAAGUUUUGCGGUUGGGGAUGGGCUCGCGGCCUAUCAGCUUGUUGGUGAGGUAAUGGCUCACCAAGGCGACGACGGGUAGCCGGCCUGAGAGGGCGACCGGCCACACUGGGACUGAGACACGGCCCAGACUCCUACGGGAGGCAGCAGUGGGGAAUAUUGCACAAUGGGCGAAAGCCUGAUGCAGCGACGCCGCGUGAGGGAUGACGGCCUUCGGGUUGUAAACCUCUUUCGGCAGGGAAGAAGCGAAAGUGACGGUACCUGCAGAAGAAGCACCGGCUAACUACGUG